rnacentral:rRNA from 1 species
AACGAACGCUGGCAGCAGGCCUAACACAUGCAAGUCGAGCGCGCCCUUCGGGGUGAGCGGCGGACGGGUGAGUAACGCGUGGGAACGUGCCCUUUUCUACGGAAUAGCCUCGGGAAACUGAGAGUAAUACCGUAUACGCUCUUCGGGGGAAAGAUUUAUCGGAAAAGGAUCGGCCCGCGUUGGAUUAGGUAGUUGGUGGGGUAAUGGCCUACCAAGCCGACGAUCCAUAGCUGGUUUGAGAGGAUGAUCAGCCACACUGGGACUGGGACACGGCCCAGACUCCUACGGGAGGCAGCAGUGGGGAAUCUUAGACAAUGGGGGCGACCCUGAUCGAGCCAUGCCGCGUGAGUGAUGAAGGCCUUAGGGUUGUAAAGCUCUUUCAGCUGGGAAGAUAAUGACGGUACCAGCAGAAGAAGCCCCGGCUAACUCCGUG